rnacentral:misc_RNA from 1 species
CAAAGUGGAGAUGCCUUCGGGUAUGUAUUUUUUACAGCAAUUUUAUCUGUAAAAUAUGCAUUUGUUCACAUAUUCUGGCAGAGACUUUCUCAUAAUUCAUAUGUACUGGAAAUAAGACUUGUGCCUUGAGACUUAGCAGUAAGGGUGUUCUUGGACUUGAGAAAAUAGGUCUUCAUGUCUACAUUCUAAGUAUGCAUUGCUACCCUUGCUUCUAUGCCUUCUACGUGUUUUGUUUUGUUAUAUAGGAACCAACUAUUUUGUUAUAUCAUUGUAAUUCAGUUGCAGUCCUUUCUGGUGAUACUAAGCAUGCAAAAUUCCUCGCCAUUACUAAAUUUAUAGCAUAACGGCAAGGAUUUUCCCUUGCUUUUGAUCAAAGAAAGUUUAUUUUGUUCUUCAAUGAUUUGUUGGCCUUGUUGGUUUGUGGCUCAUUUUUGCA